CUCUGCUUCAGCCUUGCCUCAAGGCCUCAUUUAAGGCUAAACACUCCUCCAAAAUAAUAUAGGUGGACAGUACUAUUCCUGUCACAGAUGGUGCAAUUAAUUUACCACCUUGCAAAAGAGUCACUAGCUGGGCAAAAUCGACUAGACUUUGAAAAAGGGAAAAAGCUCAACUGAACUCUGAGUCUGAGCUCAGUGAUAUUGAGGAGGAGCUCCCUGAGUCCUAUAUGGAGGAUUCAGAGGAUCUUUCUGAUCCUGCUUAUAAAAUUACUGAUGGAGAGGAUGCUAAUCCCACCCGGGAUACAUGUCUUAUUAAACCUACCAAGAUUGAGGUAGAUCAUUGCGACCUCAGGGGACACUGAUAGGAUUUUGGACUCUGAAGUGAACCCCUAUUCGAACCUGAUGACCUUUGUCACCCAGAUGUCUCCUCAGACCACGUAGCCGAGUAUAUUGCAUCCAGAGUACGCAAGCCUUUUGAGUACGCAAAGUGAAAUAAAUUGCAGUCUGAAUGCCCACGCCGAACAGUCCCUGAUGACGCAUGUAAAACACUAUCAAAAGAUCCUAAGAUCAUUCAAUUUCUGAAUAAGAUAGGAUGGAAGCCUACUAAAGGCUUAGCUUUUUCAUUGCAAAACUGUCAGUAUAAAAUCCUGGACAUCUUGGGCCCUGCAGCUCAGAUCUUUGAAGCAGUACAGGAUGAUCUAAAAUUAGAUUGCGCCUCCUUAAGUGGUUGGAUCCAGAGAGUGAUCUGUUAAGUUGGCAAUGCUAACACUGCAAAUCGAUCUUGCUCAAGAUUGAGCCCAAAUGUGUAACUAUGGCUCUGAACAAGCUGGACACAGCAAAAGCUUU